ACCCUUUUUAAAGCACUCAUUGGGCCAUUUACUAGUGACCCAUUGAGACAUCAAGAAAGGGCAAAAUAAAGACAUCAUUUUUGGGUGAAGCAGCAGUGUGUUGUGUUGUUCAGUUUCAAUCAGUGGUGCACAAGG